UUACAGUUCAUUUUUUUCAGAGAGUCCCACUCAGCGGAACUUAAUUAUAGCACUAGAUGAUUAGAUCUGGGGUUAUCUUCCUGACCUGCUACUUUUGGAGAAUUCUGCGUCUCAUUCGCAAUAGCAUCUCCGCGAACUUUGCGUCCACCUUCCUUCAUUUGCAAUAGCAUCUCCAGCAACCUUGCAUCCGCCUUCCCUGCGGCGCCACUCCAAGAACUCUGCUUCUGAGGUCGAUCAUCCGUGUAAGCUUCAAGACCAUUUCUUUGAUGCUUAGACAUGCUUUUUUUUCUUGGAAAAGGAAGCCUUUUAUUAAUUCUUUGCACAAGUAUCUAGGUGAUGUUUUUACUUGUUAGUUUUGCAUCUAGAAAUACUACUUCCACACAACAGAUGGAAGGAAAAUAAUCUGCCUUUUUUGCUGUGCUCCUUUUCUCCCUUUCAGUUCGAUAAUUUAUCGCUUCUUUCUUCACUUCUACAGGUUUUUUCAUCAAUUGCUGCCUUCACCACCUAUUUGGUCCUCCAGGAGCACUUCUAUUGCUUAUUUUUCAUUUCCGCAGAUCGGCAACCUUGCAUCCACCUUCCUAGCCGCACUGCUCUGAUAACUCUGCUUCCGAUUUCCGUGGUCUAUCAUCCGUGUAAGCUUCUAGAUCAUACCUCUGAUGUUUUCACUUGUUAGUUAGUAUGGUGCUCUAUUUUCCUCUAGAUAUACUUUUGCCGGUACAAAAGGAGAAGAAAAUCUGCCUUUUUGGUUGUGCUCAUUUUCUCCCUUUCAGCAGUUUGCUAAUUUACCUCCUGGUUCCCCAUUUCUACAGGUUUUUCAUUCACUGCUGCCUUCACCACCUGUUUGGCCCUCCAUAAGCACUUCUAUUGCUCGAUUUCAUUUCCUCAGAUCACUGCAUUAUAAACCCCCAAAAAAUAUACUUCUACUGCUCGUUUUUCAUUUCCUCAAAUCACUUUAUUAUAC
rnacentral:lncRNA from 1 species